GUUUGGAAAGAAAUACCCAUUUACAAUCAGUUAAAUGCUGACAUGUGCUGCUGUUUGAAACUUUCAUGUUUUAAAGUUGUUGUUUUUUUUUUCAUUUAAAAUUAUAAAACUUACUCUGAUAAGUAAAUUUUACAAUCUUCAGUGAUCCAUUGAGUUGGGACUGUCUAGAUUCCAGAAGAGUACUGAUAGCACCUAGGACCAAAUUUUCAUUGGGCACUGACGACAAGGAUGAGAAUACCAAUAUGGUUGUGACUGUUGCUGCACCAGUCACAUUUGUUGACAAUGUUUUGGGUAUGUUUGAAGUUUCUGGUUGCAAACUUGAAGUACUUUGAAGUGUUGCAGAUGCAUCUGCUUUUGUUGCAUUGUUUAGAGGUGUAGUAUUGCUAGAAAGAGUUUCAGCUGGUGUUGUUUUGAUUGAUGAUUGACUUGGAAUUGUAGAUGCUGGGGAUGUUGAUGCAUUUGUGUUUGAAACUGAUGUUAUUGGAGCUAUUGGAAAUUCUGCUGCACUGGUGAGACCUGUAUUAAUUCCAGUUGUAGUUGUUGAUGCAGUUGUAGUUUCUGAAUCCAUGUUUGGGAUUGGAGUUGUUUUGGUUGAAAGUGCAAGUGUGGCUGGAGCAGAAGAUGUGUUGGUAAAAGCUACAGUUGUUCUUAAAAGAUCUCCUGUUGUUACUUGAAAUGCAGUUGUUGUUUGAGCUGCAGUUGAACUUGGAAUAGUGGCUGUUGUUGUGGUUGGAGCUGUAGUUGAGAUAUCAGCUGGAACUGUAGUGGUGGGAAGAACAGUCAUGGUUGUAAUGGGUGUAGUUGGGGUUCUUGGAGGUUCAGUUGUUUUUAUUGGAGUUAAAGUUGGGGAUAUAGUUACAUGUGAUGAUGAGAUAGGCAUAAUUGUUACAGCAAUAGUUACAGUCUCCGGAGACACAGUUGUGAUAAUUGGAGGUGCAUUUGUUGUGGUAAGGAGUCCUGCUUGGCUUAGAGCUGGAGCUGUAUUAGUGAAAGCAAUAGUUGUGGUUGAUAGAGGUGCAGUUGUUAUUCGGAAUGCAGUUGUUGUUGCCGCUGUAGGUGUGUUUGUGCCUGGAAUUGAAGUUGAGGUUUGAGAUGGAUUUUCUGUUGUGGGAUAGUUAUUCGUAGAAGAGGAAGCUGUAAUGGUGGAUGUUGCAGGUGCAGGAGUACUUUCUGAAGUUGUAGACAUUGUUGGUGAAGUAAGAGUUGAGGUUUCAGUAGUUGUGGCUGGGGUUAAACUUGAUGUAGUAGUUGAAUAUUCCAUCAUGGUUGUGGAAUCUGUGGUUACAGCAGGUGAAGUUAUACUUUCUGAAUUUGUGUUCGGACCUUUUGAUGUUGUACUUGCAGCCUUAGGUGUGGUUUGAUCUGAUGUAGAAGUGGAAGGAAUGGUUGUGGUGAUGGAAGCUGUAGUUGUGGUUGUUGCAAGAGAAGCUGCUGUUGUCGUUGAAGCUACAGUGGUAGUUGUGGACGUUGUAGUUAUCGAUGUUGUUGGUGCAGUUGUGGUUUCUGAAGUCAUUUUGGUGAUUGUGAGUGUUUCAGUAGUUGCAGGUGCAAGUGGCAUUGUGGUUUGAGCUGUUGUUGCACUUGGAGCUUCAGAUGACAUUGGAGCUGAUGUCAUAGAGGAAGGUACAUUUAUAGAUGAGGAAGCUGUAGUUACUGAUGUUGUUACAGGUGCAGAUGUUUCUGAAGAUGUAGCCAUUGUUGUUGAAAUUACAGCUGUUGAUGUUGUUGGAUAAUUAGUUGCUGUACCUCGAGAUUCAGAUGAGGUUGGAGAUGAUGAUGUAGUAGUAGAAUGCACUAUCGCAGCUGAGGAAGCUGUAGAUGUUGAAGAUGCAGUUGUAAUUUCGGAAGCUGUAGUCACAGUAGUGGAUGGCCCCACUGUGGCUGUGGAAGCUGCAGUUGUGCUUGCUGCAGGUGUAGUUGUACUUUCUGAUGUUGUAGGCAUUGUUGUAGACGUAAGAGUUGUUGCUCCUGAAGUCACAACAGUGGAUGUGAGAGCUCCAGUAGAUGUGGUUGCAAGCAGCAAUGUGGUUUUAGAUGUUGUUGUACUUGGAGCUUCAGAUGACAUUGGAGCUGAUGUCAUAGAGGAAGGUACAGUUGUAGGUGAGGAAGCUGUAGUUACUGAUGUUGUUACAGGUGCAGUUGUUUCUGAAGAUGUAGGCACUGUUGUUGAAGUGAGAGUUGAGGAUUCUGAAGUUACAGCUGUUGAUGUUGUUGGAGUGUUCUUUGCUGUAAAUAUAGUUGAUGAAGCCGUAGUCAUAGCUUCUGCCGUUGUACUCUCUGAAGUUGUAGGCACCACUGUCGAAAUGAUAGGUGUGGUUUCUGUUCUCACAACCGUGGUUGUGGGAAUAUAGGUUUUUGAGGAUACUGUAGUUACUGAUGUUACAGUUGCAGUAGAUUCUGAAGAUGUAGGCUUAGCUGUUGAAGUAAGAGUUAUGGAUUCAGUACUCACAACUGUGGUUGUGGGAAUUUCAGUAGUUGAGGAUGCUGUAGUUACUGAUUUUGUUAGAGGUGUAGUUGUUUCUGAAGAUGUAGCUAUAACUGUUGAAGUAGGAGUUGUAGAUUCAGAAGUUACAAAUGUUGAUGUUGUUGGAUUGUUCGUUUUUGUAGGUGUGGUUGAUGAAGCUGUAGUCAUGGUUUCAGCUGUUGUACUCUUCAAAGUUGUGGGCAACACUGUUGAAGUAAUAGGUGUGGUUUCUGUACUCACAGCUGUGGUUGUGGAAAUUUUGAUAGUUGAGGAUGCUUUAGUUACUGAAGUUGUUACAGGUGCAGUUGUUUCUGAAGAUGUAGGCAAUGUUGUUGAAGUGAGAGUUGAGGAUUCUGAAGGUAUAACUGUUGAUGUUGUUGGAUUGUUUGUUGUUGCAGGUGUGGAUGAUGAAGCUGUAGUCGUGGUUUCUGCUGUUGUACUCUCUGAAGUUGUAGGCACCACUGUUGAAGUAAUAGGUGUGGUUUCUUUACUCACAACUGUGCUUGUGGGAAUUUCAGAAGUUGAGGAUGCUGUAGUUACUGAUGUUUUUACAGGUGCAGUUGUUUCUGAAGAUGUAGGCAAUGUUGUUGAAGUGAGAGUUGUGGAUUCUGAAGGUACAACUGUUGAUGUUGUUGGAUUGUUUGUUGUUGCAGGUGUGGAUGAUGAAGCUGUAGUCGUGGUUUCUAGUGUUGUACUUUCUGAAGUUGAAUGCACCACUGUUGAAGUAAUAGGUGUGGUUUCUGUACUCACAACUGUGGUUGUAGGAAUUUCAGUAGUUGAGGAUGCUGUAGUUACUGAAGUUGUUACAGGUGCAGUUGUUUCUGAAGAUGCAGGCACUGUUGUUGAAGUGAGAGCUGUGGAUGCUGAAGUUACAGCUUUUGAUGUUGGAUUGUUUGUUGUUGUAGAAAUUGUUGAUGAAGCUGUAGUCGUGGUUUCUGCUGUUGUACUCUCUGAAGUUGUAGGCACCACUGUUGAAGUAAUAGGUGUGGUUUCUUUACUCACAACUGUGCUUGUGGGAAUUUCUGAAGUUGAGGAUGCUGUAGUUACUGAUGUUUUUACAGGUGCAGUUGUUUCUGAAGAUGUAGGCACUGUUUUUGAAGUGAGAGUUGUGGAUUCUGAAGUUACAAAUGUUGAUGUUGUUGGAUUGUUUGUUGUAAGUGUGGUUGAUGAAGCUGUAGAUGUGGUUUCUGCUGUUGUACUCUCUGAAGUUGUGGGCACCACUGUUGAAGUAAUAGGUGUGGUUUCUGUACUCAUAACUGUGGUUGUGAGAAUUUCAGUAGUUGAGGAUGCUUUAGUUACUGAAGUUGUUACAGGUGCAGUUGUUUCUGAAGAUGUAGGCAAUGUUGUUGAAGUGAGAGUUGAGGAUUCUGAAGGUAUAACUGUUGAUGUUGUUGGAUUGUUUGUUGUUGCAGGUGUGGAUGAUGAAGCUGUAGUCGUGGUUUCUAGUGUUGUACUUUCUGAAGUUGAAUGCACCACUGUUGAAGUAAUAGGUGUGGUUUCUGUACUCACAACUGUGGUUGUAGGAAUUUCAGUAGUUGAGGAUGCUGUAGUUACUGAAGUUGUUACAGGUGCAGUUGUUUCUGAAGAUGCAGGCACUGUUGUUGAAGUGAGAGCUGUGGAUGCUGAAGUUACAGCUUUUGAUGUUGGAUUGUUUGUUGUUGUAGAAAUUGUUGAUGAAGCUGUAGUCGUGGUUUCUGCUGUUGUACUCUCUGAAGUUGUAGGCACCACUGUUGAAGUAAUAGGUGUGGUUUCUUUACUCACAACUGUGCUUGUGGGAAUUUCAGAAGUUGAGGAUGCUGUAGUUACUGAUGUUUUUACAGGUGCAGUUGUUUCUGAAGAUGUAGGCAAUGUUGUUGAAGUGAGAGUUGAGGAUUCUGAAGGUAUAACUGUUGAUGUUGUUGGAUUGUUUGUUGUUGCAGGUGUGGAUGAUGAAGCUGUAGUCGUGGUUUCUAGUGUUGUACUUUCUGAAGUUGAAUGCACCACUGUUGAAGUAAUAGGUGUGGUUUCUGUACUCAUAACUGUGGUUGUGAGAAUUUCAGUAGUUGAGGAUGCUUUAGUUACUGAAGUUGUUACAGGUGCAGUUGUUUCUGAAGAUGUAGGGACUGUUGUUGAAGUGAAAGUUGUGGAUUCUGAAGGUACAACUGUUGAUGUUGUUGGAAUGUUUGUUGUUGUAGGUGUGGUUGAUGAAGCUGUAGUCGUGGUUUCUGGUGUUGUACUUUCUGAAGUUGAAUGCACCACUGUUGAAGUAAUAGGUGUGGUUUCUGUACUCACAGCUGUGGUUGUGGGAAUUUUAGUAGUUGAGGAUGCUGUAGUUACUGAAGUUGUUACAGGUGUAGUUGUUUCUGAAGAUGUAGGCACUGUUGUUGAAGUAAUAGUUGUGUAUUCAGAAGUUACAGCUGCUGAUAUUGGAUUGAUUGUUGUUGUAAGAGUGGUUGAUGAAGCUGUAGUCGUGGUUUCUGGUGUUGUACUUUCUGAAGUUGUAGGCACUGUUGUUGAAGUGAUAGUUGUGUAUUCAGAAGUAACAGCUGUUGAUGUUGGAUUGUUUGUUGUUGAAAGUGUGGUUGAUGAAGCUGUAGUCGUGGUUUCUGCUGUUGUACUCUCUGAAGUUGUAGGCACCACUGUUGAAGUAACAGAUGUGGUUUCUGAACUCACAGCUGUGCUUGUAGGAAUUUCAGUAGUUGAGGAUGCUGUAGUUACUGACGUUGUUACAGGUGCAGUUGUUUCUAUAGAUGUAGGCAAUGUUGUUGAAGUGAGAGUUGUGGAUUCAGAAGUUGCAGCUAUUGAUCUUGUUGGAUUGUUUGUUGUUGUAGGAGUGGUUGAUGAAGCUGUAGUCGUGGUUUCUACUGUUGUACUCUCUGAAGUUGUAGGCACCACUGUUGAAGUAGUAGAUGUGGAUUCUGAACUCAAAACUGUGGUUGUGGGAAUUUCAAUAGUUGAGGAUGCUGUAGUUACUGAUGUUGUUACAGGUGCAGUUGUUUCUAUAGAUGUAGGCACUGUUGUUGAAGUGAGAGUUGUGGAUUCUGAAGUUGCAGCUGUUGAUGUUGUUGGAUUGUUUGUUGUUGUAGGAGUGGUUGAUGAAGCUGUAGUCGUUGUUUCUACUGUUGUACUCUCUGAAGUUGUAGGCACCACUGUUGAAGUAAUAGAUGUGGUUUCUAAACUCACCACUAUGGUUGUGGGAAUUUCAGUAGUUGAGGAUGCUGUAGUUACUGAUGUUGUUAGAGGUGUAGUUAUUUCUGAAGAUGUAGGUAUAAUUGUUGAAGUAAGACUUGUAGAUUCAGAAGUUACAGAUGUUGAUGUUGUUGGAUUGGUCGUUGUUGUUGGUGUGGUUGAUGAAACUGUAGUCGUGGUUUCUGAUGUUGUACUCUCUGAAGUUGUAGGCACCACUGUUGAAGAAACAGAUGUGGUUUCUGAACUUACAACUGUGGUUGUGGGAAUUUCAGUAGUUGAGGAUGCUGUAGUUACUGAUGUUGUUACAGGUGCAGUUGUUUCUAUAGAUGUAGCCACUGUUGAUGAAGUGAGAACUGUAGAUUCUGAAGUUGCAGCUGUUGAUGUUGUUGGAUUGUUAGUUGUUGUAGGAGUGGUUGAUGAAGCUGUAGUCGUUGUUUCUACUGUUGUACUCUCUGAAGUUGUAGGCACAACUGUUGAAGUAAUAGAUGUGGUUUCUAAACUCACCACUGUGGUUUUUGGAAUUUCAGUAGUUGAGGAUGCUGUAGUUACUGAUGUUGUUAGAGGUGUAGUUGUUUCUGAAGAUGUAGGUAUAACUGUUGAAGUAAGAGUUGUAGAUUCAGAAGUUACAGAUGUUGAUGUUGUUGGAUUGUUCCUUGUUGUUGGUGUGGUUGAUGAAACUGUAGUCGUGGUUUCUGCUGUUGUACUCUCUGAAGUUGUAGGCACCACUGUUGAAGAAACAGAUGUGGUUUCUGAACUUACAACUGUGGUUGUGGGAAUUUCAGUAGUUGAGGAUGCUGUAGUUACUGAUGUUGUUACAGGUGCAGUUGUUUCUAUAGAUGUAGGCACUGUUGUUGAAGUGAGAGUUGUGGAUUCUGAAGUUGCAGCUGUUGAUGUUGGAUUGUUCGUUGUUGUAGUUGUGGUUGAUGAAGCUGUAGUCGUGGUUUCUGCUGUUGUACUCUCUGAAGUUGUAGGCACCGCUGUUGAAGUAAUAGAUGUGGUUUCUGUACUCACAACUGUGGUUGUCGGAAUUUCAGUAGUUGAGGAUGCUGUAGUUUCUGAAGUUGUUAAAGGUGCAGUUGUUUCUGAAGAUGUAGGCGCUGUCGUUGAAAUUAGAGUUGUGGAUUCUGAAGUUACAGCUGUUGAUGUUGUUGGAUUGUUUGUUGUUGUAGGAGUGGUUGAUGAAGCUGUAGUCGUGGUUUCUACUGUUGUACUUUCUGAAGUUGUAGGCAUCACUGUUGAAGUAAUAGAUGUGGUUUCUGUACUCACAACUGUGGUUCUGGGAAUUUCAGUAGUUGAGGAUGCUGUAGUUACUGAUGUUGUUAGAGGUGCAGUUGUUUCUGAAAAUGUAGGCGCUGUCGUUGAAGUGAGAGUUGUGGAUUCUGAAGUUACAGCUGUUGAUGUUGUUGGAUUGUUUGUUGUUGUAGGAGUGGUUGAUGAAGCUGUAGUCGUGGUUUCUACUGUUGUACUCUCUGAAGUUGUAGGCACCACUGUUGAAGUAAUAGAUGUGGUUUCUGUACUCACAACUGUGGUUGUGGGAAUUUCAGUAGUUGAGGAUGCUGUAGUUUACUGAA
ensembl:lncRNA